rnacentral:lncRNA from 1 species
UAGUCUUCUGAUGAAAUUCAGUUCAUGUGACCCAAAAUCCACACCAUUGAUUCUAUUAUUUGGGAAAGGAAUCCGUACAUAAUCAGAUCUUUGCACUAAUGUGUUUGAGCAGAGGUGAGCUGCCCAGAAAAAUAAUUGUUUUACUCUGAGUCGCCCUUUCUAUCUAUUAAAUUAUUAGGAAAAUUUGUGAUCUUCUGGUUGAAUCCGGAUGUUCUUUUUAUUACUUUGACAGCUUACAGUAUCCUACCAUACUCAUUACUCUUUCCAAUGUACAUUUGAAACUUUUAGCUGAUAUUGUAACUUCUGAAUUGGAACAAUCGAUCUUGGUGCAUAUUGUGAUUAGAAUUUGCUUCAUCCAUGUCAAUCUCAGAAGGUUUCAGAUCAUUCUGAAUGUAUGCAUAGGCAUGCUUAGCCCUUUCAUAUUCGUGUGGAGGAUCAGCUGCAGUUCUUUGACAUUCUGAAUGUAUGCAUAGGCAUGCUUAUCCCUUUCAUAUUUGUGUGGAGGAUCAGCUGCAGUUCUUUGACACAGUCUACCAUUGACGGCCUUUCACUACUGUCGGCUCGCACACAACGAGAGGCUAGAUUAGCAAACAUGGUUACGGACUCCAUUGUAUAUGAGCUCCUGUUAAUCUCAGGGUCAAUCACCUUGCGCAGCUUCUUCUUAUCAUUCAAUAUAUGCCUGACCUGCAAUAUCCUCAUAGCAGUUAGUGUCCUAUAUUUGAAAAAAUUUGGAACCAAUUUUCAUUUUUGCUGCUAUUAUAAUAAUUUUGGUCCUUACCUGUAGUACUAAAUUCUGAUCAUUUGGUCCAAGGGUGAGGUCAACGGCCCUGCG